ensembl:lncRNA
AAUCAGUGGGCUUUUCCACAUUAUUCUUUCUCCCCAUCUUGUUGAUGAGGGGGAAUGAAAGUGGAUGGGUUAACACCUAAUAGCCAGCCAAGAUCAACACACAACAAGAACAAUGAUUUACAUUACACAGCAGAUGAUCUUCUAAGCAGGAAAAGUUUUUCCAUAUAAGAAGUGAAAUUACUGUUCUGUGAGGUCUGGAAGAUGGAAAUUAUCAUGACUUAAGUUAGAUAAACUGCAAGAAGUGGAGCAGAAUCAAGUUGUCUCAGAAGCCCAACAUAGCUGUGUUUGUACCGAGAAGCUAAAUGGUAGGAAAAAAAAGAAGACAAGAGAGAUAGACAUACUGAAAAGAAAACAAAAGAGGGACACAAAGACAAAGGCACAAGUAUCUCUUCUGUCUGGAGAGGCUGAGAGAACUGGAAAAAAAAAAAAUUAGCUUUGAGAAGAGGAGGCUCAAGCAGGAUCUUAUCAGUAUCUAUAAAUACCCAAAGGGAGGAUGCAAAAAGA